AUUGAACGCUGGCGGCAUGCCUUACACAUGCAAGUCGAACGGUAACAGGUUAAGCUGACGAGUGGCGAACGGGUGAGUAAUAUAUCGGAACGUGCCCAGUCGUGGGGGAUAACGCAGCGAAAGCUGUGCUAAUACCGCAUACGAUCUAUGGAUGAAAGCGGGGGAUCGCAAGACCUCGCGCGAUUGGAGCGGCCGAUAUCAGAUUAGCUAGUUGGGGGGGUAAAGGCCUACCAAGGCGACGAUCUGUAGCUGGUCUGAGAGGACGACCAGCCACACUGGAACUGAGACACGGUCCAGACUCCUACGGGAGGCAGCAGUGGGGAAUUUUGGACAAUGGGCGCAAGCCUGAUCCAGCAAUGCCGCGUGUAGGAUGAAGGCCUUCGGGUUGUAAACUCCUGUUAAGUGGGAAGAAAUAGCCAUCCUUAAUACGGGUGGCGAAUGACGGUACCAUUAGAGAAAGCACCGGCUAAUCUCGUGCCAGCCGCCGCCGUAA
rnacentral:rRNA from 1 species